rnacentral:rRNA from 1 species
AGAAAGAUAGCGAACAAGUACCGUGAGGGAAAGAUGAAAAGCACUUUGGAAAGAGAGUUAAACAGUACGUGAAAUUGUCGAAAGGGAAGCGCUUAAAGUUAGACAUGCUUGUCGGGAUUCAGCCUUGCUUUUGCUUGGUGUAUUUCCCGGUGUGCAGGCCAGCAUCAGUUUUGGCUGUCGGAUAAGGGUUGGAGGAAUGUGGCCCCUCGGGGUGUUAUAGCCUCUAACUGGAUACGGCGGCUGGGACUGAGGAACGCAGCGUGCCUUUAUGGCGGGCCUUCGGGCACCUUCACGCUUAGGAUGCUGGCGUAAUGGCUUUAAGCGACCCGUCUUGAAACACGGACCAAG